AUCUUAAUAAUCAUUCACUUGAAUUGCCAUCACCUCAAGAACCUGCCUUUUUCUUACACGGAAUAGAUAAAAAAAGUUAUGCAGAAAGGAUCAAGUUCCACCAUUUCUGCCAACAGUGAGAGCAGUUUCUACAUAAGCAGUUUAAAAACUACUUUUCCAGAAUUUUCUAUUCAGACCUAAUAGUUGUGAAGCGUGCACCCCAAAACCAAUUGCACACAUAGCUAUGCCUCCGUAUAAGAUUGCAUAUUGGAAUUUUGAAGGAGCUUUGCAUUGGUUUCAUCCAUUGUUGCAGGGGUUAGGUUUCAACGAAUC
rnacentral:lncRNA from 1 species